AUGAGUUGCCUCUCAUGGAACUGCCGGGGGCUUGGGAACCCCGAGGCGGUUCGAGAGCUUCGCAGCAUUGUGAAGCUAGAAGGACCUACUAUUCUCUUCGUCAUGGAAACAAAAAUAAAAGGGAAGAGAGUUGAGGACUUGCAGAGAAAUCUAGGCUUCGGCGGGUGCUUUACAGUGGAUAGUGUAGGCCUAAGUGGUGGUAUUGGGCUUUUCUGGACACAUGAUGUUAUUGUCGAUCUAAAGAAUUAUAGUUCUGGACAUAUUGAUGUAACAGUUAAAUAUAAAGACCAAUUUUCUUUUGAGUGGAGGUUCACUGGUUUCUAUGGAGCGCCUCGAGCUGAAGAUAGACAUCAUAGUUGGCGUUUCCUGCACACUUUGUAUGCCAUGCCGCACGCGGCCUCGAUUUGUUUGGGUGAUUUUAACGAGACUCUCUACGCUAACGAACACUUCACUCGGGCAGCUAGGCCAGAGAGACAAAUGAGAGCUUUCAGAGAAGUCACCGAUGAAGUGGCUCUCCAUGAUUUGGGGUGGUCAGGCACAUCAUACACCUGGGAUAAUCGCAGUCAGGUGACGCGAAUGUAA
rnacentral:rRNA from 1 species